UAGGGAAUUUUCGUCAAUGGGCGUCAAGCCUGAACGAGCGAUGCCGCGUGAGUGAAGAAGGCCUUGGGUCGUAAAGCUCUGUUGCGGGGGAAAAAAGGCAUCUGCAGGAAAUGGUAGAUGACAGAUGGUGCCCCGCCAGAAAGUCACGGCUAACUACGUGCC
rnacentral:rRNA from 1 species